rnacentral:tmRNA from 2 species
CCCCUUUGCAAGCGCGGAUCCCCGCCCUAUAUUAGGUCUGUCCCGCAAGGAACUAUGGGCAUAAACGCGCGUGAAAUAAGCGGAUCGGACCCGGGGGCGGUACCCGGCGGCUCCACCAAACAUCCCUUGUUGGGGGAUCAUGGGGCCGAAAUAGGAUCGACGAACGUGUAAAGACGUUGCUUUGUCCCGGUGAGAUACCACCGUUAUCGGUUCACAAAGUACAAUUGCCAACAACAAUCGUGCUCCGGUUGCCCUCGCUGCGUAAGCAGUUGGGAAUACCGAAAUCUAAGUCCUUGCGCUUAGCAGCGUAAGGCGGGGUUCGCAGGCACCUGGCAACAGAAGCCUGCACU